AAACAUGAACCUACUCCUCCUGACCAAAAUGGCCUUGGCUUGGCUAAAUUUAGACACAUUUCCUCCUGACCAAAGCCCCCGGCUUCCUUUUCCUCAGAGCAUCUGAGCAUUUACUUUAGAAAAAUUACAGUCCUACAUUUUCUCUCUGUCCUUGUGAGAUGUAAAUCUUACAGCUUCUUGCCAGUUUUACAACACAGGAAUAUCUUUUUUCUUGAGGAUCUGAGAGCCAACCUUUGAAAUGUAUUCAUUAAGAGGAAAGGCAGAGCACCAUCUCCCAGUCUUUGUGAAAAGCAUCCAUGUGAAGAAGGACAUGUUUGCUUCCUCUUCUGUAAUAAUUUUAAGUUUCCUGAGCCGUCCUGGCCAUGCUGACCUGUUUGAUCCAGAAACAUGACUUUAUGUUUAGACACGUCACAGCAAAUGAAGAUAAAAACAAAACUGUCAGUAAAGAUGACUUAAGAAACAAAUGUAUCUGAGUACAAUGCUGAUAAAUAUCUGUAAAUGUUUGUUCAAUAGAAGAUUCCUAACAUCACACAUAUGGUGUUCUUACCGCUUGAUGUACUUCAGAGCAAAUUUCCCUACCCUGUCUCAAAAUAGAGAUAAGUUUAACAGCUGGUAGGGAUUAAAAGAGUAAGACAUUGUUUUCGUUAUUGUUCAAGGUGAUCAGUGCAUUGAUAUAUGAAUUCACAUAUGGUAGCACUUAAGGAAGGACACUUGGUUUCUUUAGGAAAACAUCACGGAAGGGGUGGUGCCUAAGCUAGAACUUGAAG
rnacentral:lncRNA from 13 species